rfam:Pantoea sp. PSNIH2, complete genome.
AGGUAUUUGAGUAUAUGGGGAUGUUUGCCAGACAUUCAAUGUCAGUAGCGUGAGAAAAACAAAAGGGGGACAAAUUCCCCCUUUUAUUGACUAACU